ACCUACAUUCAGAAGGAAAAGGUUCCAACGCAGAAACAGGUAGGGACAGAUAGAGAAUGAAGAGUGAGGGAAAGAGGGGUAGGUAGAGGCCAGCUAGACUACAGUAGAGAUGGGUAGGUAGAGGCCAGCUAGACUACAGUAGAGAUGGGUAGGUAGGGGCCAGCUAGACUGCAGUAGAGAUGGGUAGGUAGAGGCCAGCUAGACUGCAGUAGAGAGGGGUAGGUAGAGAGACCAGCUAGACUGCAGUAGAGAGGGGUAGGUAGGGGCCAGCUAGACUGCAGUAGAGAGGGGUAGGUAGAGGCCAGCUAGACUGCAGUAGAGAUGGGUAGGUAGAGGCCAGCUAGACUGCAGUAGAAAGGGGUAGGUAGAGGCCAGCUAGACUGCAGUAGAGAGGGGUAGGUAGAGGCCAGCUAGACUACAGUAGAGAUGGGUAGGUAGAGGCCAGCUAGACUACAGUAGAGAGGGGUAGGUAGAGGCCAGCUAGACUACAGUAGAGAUGGGUAGGUAGAGGCCAGCUAGACUAAAAAAUCCACCACACAGAGAGCCAUAGACAGAGAGACUGACAGGCACUCCCACAGUAAGACACACACACUUGCAAUACAUAGAGCUUUGUGUAGAUGGCGCUGUUACACUAGUCAGACUCCGACACUACCAGUAAGGGAUUAACAGUCAGUGAGGGACAGGCAGCGUGUUGGGGACAGACAGGUAGGUGUCUAGUCUCUGUUUAGCUGUUUUUUUCCGGGGUAAAGGAUCUUCUAUAUGAAUGAAUAUUCCUCCUGUUGUUACUCGAUCACUGGUUCACUGCUGAUCUCUCCUCCACCAAGCAUGUUUUGGUUUCUGUCCUUUCCCUAAGGAAUGCUUUCUUCAUAUAACUAUCAUGAGAGAAUUCUCAUGUUCUCUUCUAGAUAGCCGGGGAUAACUAACCUCUUAGUUCAUACGAGUCAUCAUUAUAAGAGGGAGAGAAAUAGGGCUUAAAUAAUACCUGUUAUUCUUACGUAAAGUUAGGAAACUACAGAUCACAGUCUCUCGCCUCUAGUUGUACCUGUUUGUGUGUCGUGUCUGAGUUUGUUUACCUAUUGUUUACCCUACAUGACACUGUUGAUUGUUUUAAUAAGGUAACGAUUUAACACUUGACUCCUCCCACCCUAUUGUCCUCCACCUGUAAACUCUGGCCAACUGUGUGUGUGUGUGUUGCCAUAGUGAUAUCUUGAGGAAAGAGAUUAAACCCAGAAUUGUUUAUCCUGAUAACGUGUUACAAGAGGUCCAUAUUUUGUUGCUUUUUGUUUAUUAUUUUUUUUAUUUGCUGCUACUGUGUUUUUUAGUUUCCAUGGUGAGCUUAAAUGAACACAAACAAAACAUUUGUUUAUUUUUAGUUUUGUGGUUUUGCACUUUUAAUUUUUUAUUUUUGUAUUAAGGAUUUUUUUAAACUUAAAGGACAUCUGAAUUCUACCGUCCGUGUUCUAUUGUCUCUUACUUACUGGGAAAACAAAAGCUCUAUUGUCUCUUACUUACUGGGAAAACAAAAGCUCUAUUGUCUCUUACUUACUGGGAAAACAAAAGCUCUAUUGUCUCUUACUUACUGGGAAAACAAAAGCUCUAUUGUCUCUUACUAACUGGGAAAACAAAAGUAGGAAUACGAAAAUGGCAGAAAGUUAGUGAAACUGCGAGUAAUCCGCACUUUUACAGCGACUGACUGUGUACGUUUGUAUUUUCUAGGGAGAAGAGGUUGUAGCUGGAACUAGCCUACUGUGUGUGUGUGAGAAUAGUGUUGUUAUCCUUAACUUGUCUUCACUUUGUUCCAAGAUAAGAGCACAAUGUCCCUCCAACAGGACAGCGGAGCAAUGACUCAUACAGACAGACGGCAACAUCCUCCGUCCCAAAUGCCACUCUAUUCCCUAUAUAUAUAUUCCUCAUAGAGCUCUGGUCAAAAGUAGUGCAUUUUAAAGGGAAUGUUGCCGUUUUGUACGCAGGCACAGACACUAUCAUAGAGUUGGAUAGAGGGUGCACAUGAACAGAAACGAUUAUUGAACAUGUGCCCUCUAGCCAACUUUAUGUACAGCAUAGACAGCUGUGAGGUUGUCAGCAGUUUGAGGCCAGGAUUCAAUCCGAUCGGCCCAGCACCUUUUUAAAGGCAAUGUUCCCACGUUCGUGGAGACCUCAUUCACGGUAAACGCUGCUUCUGUCAGCUCAAUUGGAAAUGACCUUUAAAUGUCAUGAGUCAGAUCUAAUGAGGAUUUGAAUGAAUCCCAGCCUUAGUGUCAUUAAAGGGGACGUUCAGUAUUUUGGCCUUUGGCUUUUAAAGUUACCUGGCUUUAAAAAAAAAAAGAAAUCGAACCAGGAACUUCAGUUUCUCCUGAACCAUUGAAUACUUUCAGGAUGAGGAACAAUCUAACAUUAAGUUGUAAAAUCCUGAACUUCCCCUUUAAUAUCCAUAUUAUCUCAGUUUCAGUGAAUUUGGACACAUUUUGCACAGAUGUAUAGAUGACUGACUGACCAGGACUGUGAUCAUAGAAGCGAUAAACUAAUCAAUGUACCAUUCAACAAAGACGAUCUACAUCUCGCCCAUUCUUCUAUCUCUAUUUCUAUCAGUUUAGAUUUUAGCUUUUUGUAUCCAUUUAAAUUGAUUUAAAGAUGUUUUUUUUUGUCAGGUUUCAAUGUUCUGUAGUAGAUCGUUUUGGACUCGUUAUGAUAUUGUGAUGACUUAAUUGGUUCAUUAAUAAAUGCAAUCAAGUGUC